GGCGGGGUUGGCUCUAACGAAUUUGAAUGAGGAGCCUCAGCGCUUUCGGCGCCAUUUUCGAGUGAUGCCUGAUCUCAUCAAUCUAGCGGGAGAGACAGGAUAACCUGUCCGAGAGUAUAGCGCCACUAUGACUCCGCCGGAAAAAUUACUUUAAAAAUCGCCAAAAAUUACUUGGAGCAAAGGGCAGUCGGCGGAGCUUCGCCAAGGCUGGCGCAGUCGGUUUUGACCUGUAGCAGAGAACCAAUUCUGGAGAACAGCCUCACUUCUUUGAUUGAAUACUUACAUAAUGCAUUGGAACAUGACAUGAGAUUAAGGUUUAAUAAUGAUAGAAUGAAGACCACAAUAAAAGAGACCUCUACUUAGCUCAGCAAUUCUUACCUUGUGUAAAUUUUGAUACCACCAUUGCCGCCUUCCCCUCAAAAAAGGUGAGAACUGACUAAACUACUGGUACUUAGACCAUGUGGAGAAGGAACUGAAAAUGGAAACAGAAACACGUCUGUACAGAGCAGAGUGUCAGAUAAUAGCUCAUUUUAGUAGAGGGCAAUAAAUGCCACAUGAGAUGAUCACCUCAGCAGAAAACUGUAAGUAACUGGGGACUUACAGGAGAAUUGAACAGUUGUUUCUGCUGACUCAGUAAAAAGUCUUCAUUUUAUAAUUUGUGGCCUGCAUGCUUGUAAAUUAAAAUGCAUUGAGUUGUCAAGUAAUGGACUUGUCUGGUUUGUAGGUAGGAAUUUAAGCCAAAAUUGAAUGCAACAUUCCCCCAGAAGUAACCUGGGAUCUGUGCCAUAAAACCUAAGGCAAAGGUUACAUGAAUUUGUAUUACUAGGUUAGAACUAGGCUAUUGAGCCUUUGCCUAGAAAACCAAUUAGAGGAUUUUGGUCUUGAUAUAGCAGGGAAUAGGGAGGCAUUAUAGCCUAUUGAUUUGUUUGGAAUUAAAUGUGGCAAUACUAUAUAUAGAAAUGUCUAAGAAAUAAAAUAUGGUAGCAAGGAAACUGGGCAUGUGACUACUGUAGUAAUCUAGGGGUGAAGAAACCUGAACAGCAAUAGUGGCAGGAGAAUGGAGGUGAAAGAAUAAAUUUAAGAUAUUUCAAAG
rnacentral:lncRNA from 1 species